rfam:Brachypodium distachyon strain Bd21 chromosome 1, whole genome shotgun sequence.
UCAAUACUCCCUCCGAUCCAAAUUACAUGUCGCAGCUUUGUGUCGAUACGCGUGUAUCUAGACGCAUUUCAUUAGAUAGAUACAUGCGAAUCUAGACAAAUCUACGACAAAUAAUUUGAAUCGGAGGGAGUACCAG